rnacentral:rRNA from 1 species
GAUGAAUGCUGGCGGCGUGCCUAACACAUGCAAGUCGAGCGGCAGCGCAGUCUUCGGACUGGCGGCGAGCGGCGGACGGCUGAGUAACGCGUGGGAACGUACCCCAAAGUGAGGAAUAACUGCCCGAAAGGGUAGCUAAUGCCGCAUAUGGUCUUCGGAUUAAAGGAUUUAUCCGCUUUGGGAACGGCCUGCGUACGAUUAGAUUGUUGGUGAGGUAAUGGCUCACCAAGUCGACGAUCGUUAACUGGUCUGAGAGGAUGAUCAGUCAGACUGGAACUGAGACACGGUCCAGACUCCUACGGGAGGCAGCAGUGAGGAAUCUUCCACAAUGGGCGAAAGCCUGAUGGAGCAACGCCGCGUGCAGGAUGAAGGCCUUCGGGUCGUAAACUGCUUUUAUAAGUGAAGAAUAUGACGGUAACUUAUGAAUAAGCACCGGCUAACUACGUGCCAGCCGCCGCAGUAA